rnacentral:rRNA from 1 species
UACGUAGGGUGCAAGCGUUGUCCGGAAUUAUUGGGCGUAAAGCGUUCGCAGGCGGUUUGUUGCGUCGGCUGUGAAAUCCCGAGGCUCAACCUCGGGUCUGCAGUCGAUACGAGCAAACUAGAGUGUUGCAGGGGAGACUGGAAUUCCUGGUGUAGCGGUGAAAUGCGCAGAUAUCAGGAGGAACACCGGUGGCGAAGGCGGGUCUCUGGGCAACAACUGACGCUGAGGAGCGAAAGCGUGGGGAGCGAACAGG